GCGAUUCCCCCAUUUCUCCCUCAUUUCUCAUUUUCUCAUUCUGUCCUCUCCUUCUCUCCACUCCGCCGCCGCCGUCCCUCCGUCUGUUGCUGCCGCCGAUUGGAGUCGUGAGGAGCUACCGUCGCCGCCUCACCUACCGGAGCUGCCGCCGCCGCCUCCUUCUCCUCUCUCAUUCAUUCUCUCCUUCUCCUUUAAGCUAAGGUUAGGGUUUUAUUUUUAAAAAAAAUUCAAUUUGAGCUCUACUUGAUUUUGUUAGUUAUUUAAUUGUAAUUAGUUUAUUGUAUUUUGUGUUUAUUGAUUGUUAGUUUGAAUUAGGGAUUAUUAGUUAGUGAGUGAAUUGAAAAUUUUAAUGUUAG
rnacentral:lncRNA from 1 species